AAUUUGAGAAAUAAAUAAUGAUUAAUAAUUUUGGCAUUUGAUGUCAUUUUGGAGUAUUAGAGAAAUUAAGAGAAAAUAUUUACUUAUGUUAUUUUGAGAAAAUAAGUAAAUAAGAUAAUUAUUAAUUCUUGCAUUUAUGGAAAUUAUUAAUUUAUUUGGGAAUUUGGAGAUAUAAGAAAAAAUAAAUUAAUUUAAUGGAUUUUUGAAAGUUUUCGGGUGUAAGUGCAAUAAAGGAAAUUGGAGUCUGGGGUGUGUGUGCCAAUAAUGAAAGUUCUGGGGGCUGAAAUGUGAUUUGCCGAAGUGGCCGCAAAUCACCUUAAAUAUAAGUGAAGGCAUUAUAUGGUUAAAGGAGUCGGCUAGCGCGGGCGGUCGCGAGUGCUCGUGUGCUGGGUGAGGUCGCGGGUUCGAGCCCCCUCGGGUGUGCGCGCGCGCUGGAGAAUUUUGGCUGAUUUUUCAGCCAAAAUCCUUGCCCAAAACGGCGUCGUUUUGGGCAAGGCGGUGGCAGCCAUGUGCAGCUGCUGGGCGCGCCACGUGGCGCGCUGUGGGCCGCCCAUUUGCCUCGCGUUAAAGCAGCAUUUUUGCUGCGAUUUUAAGGCCGAUUUCGGCCAAAUUUGAGACAGAACCAGAGGAAGAAAAAUGAAGAAGAAGCAGCGCGCGCGAGGGUCAUUUUUUUAGAGAAAAAUUGAAGAUUAAAUUACGUUUAAUCGUGAUUUAAUUAAUCAGCGUGUAUUAAUUUGGUGAUGUUUAAGCAUGAAAACGUUGUAAUCAGCUUAAGCGAGGCAAGUUCUCCUCUACCCUUGCGAUCUAUUUCCAUUUGGUGAAUCCCUUGUCUUCCCUUAAUUCGGUUUGAUUUUGCGUAUUAAUUAUACGAAUUAGGAAUGUUUUGGGCAUGAUUUAAUUUAAAAGAAAUAUGAGAUUUAUUGGGAUUUUAUUUACGAGGUGCCUAUGUGGAAUUUAGAUGGCUAAAUUAAUUAUAUUAUACGAUUAGAUUUAAUUAAUGUGAGUCUCGGGUUUUAUUAAUUGUUAUCAAACGUUUUUAAACAUUUUACUUCGCAGCGGGAAUGCAAGAAAUUGAGGAAACGGUCGUGUAAAGGCAA